rnacentral:rRNA from 1 species
UGCGUAGGCGGCUUAGCAAGUCUCCUGUUAAAUUCAGCGACCUAAUCGUUGAGCCGCGGGAGAUACUACUAGGCUAGGAGGCGGGAGAGGUCGACGGUACUUUCGGGGUAGGGGUGAAAUCCUAUAAUCCCGGGAGGACCACCAGUGGCGAAGGCUGUUGACUAGAACGCGCUCGACGGUGAGGGACGAAAGCUGGGGGAGCGAACCGGAUUAGAUACCCGAGUAGUCC